AUUCAGCUAGCUUAGUGGCUAAAGCGCUGCACUCUGAUGUGAGAGAUGCGGGUUCAAACCCUGGUUGUGUG